rnacentral:rRNA from 1 species
UACGGAGGGAGCUAGCGUUGUUCGGAAUUACUGGGCGUAAAGCGCACGUAGGCGGCCAUUCAAGUCAGAGGUGAAAGCCCAGGGCUCAACCCUGGAAUUGCCUUUGAAACUAGAUGGCUUGAAUCCAGGAGAGGUGAGUGGAAUUCCGAGUGUAGAGGUGAAAUUCGUAGAUAUUCGGAAGAACACCAGUGGCGAAGGCGGCUCACUGGACUGGUAUUGACGCUGAGGUGCGAAAGCGUGGGGAGCAAACAGG